GCGGGUAUAGUUUAAUGGUAGAAUCCCAUGCUUCCGACCUGGUGGUGAGGGUUCGAUUCCCUCUACCCGCUCCA
rnacentral:tRNA from 1 species